UCGAAAGUGAAAGUACUGAACUUUUUUCCAGAAGUUGAACUUUCAAAUCAAGUUUCCUAUCGAGCUGGAACUGGAGUUUCCAGUCGAAUUUCUAGAAACAAGAACACGAGCAAUAAUACUCUCUUUAAAAUCAGAGAAUUUUACAGAAAAGAUACAAAUUUCGAAAUCAGUUAUUAACCUAACUUAACCAAACUUUCAUCGUCACAAGUAAAAUAGAAUGCAAGUAAAAUCUUCCAUACAUUAACGUGGACUUUCACAUCGAGUUUCGUUGUCAAAUUUGCGUAGAGAAACUGCAGUUCAGAAUCUGAAGCAGAAGGUAUCGAAAACAAAAAUGUACAACUUCACUGGAUAAAGUCGAAGUCGAUAUGUUUUUUGAGUGCGAUCCGAUAGUGUGCAUCGAUGAAUCUGAGCGCAGUGCAGAAGAAUGCCCGAUAAUAUUAUUAUUGCGCGGGCGCGGGUCAAUAAUCGAGCACGUUGCCUGGCGACGGUGCUCCUGCUCUCUCUCAGCCUCCGGGAUUUCUUCUUCUGCGACUAGUCCUGCAGCUGCAACGCGCAGAACUCCAGCAACCUUCAUUACAUCCUCAUCGGACCGGUUUCAUAUCUUCUGGCUGAUAUACGUCGCCCCUAGCCUCCUAGUUCAAUGGUUCAGUUAUGUGGAGAAAAAGCAGACUGCUCGCCAAUUCCAAGUUACAGGAUGAACAGAACCUUGCAGCACGGUGUUCGAUCGCCGGCAGGUUCGAGAGACUAUGCGGAUUUAAGUUCAGCGAUUUAUCAUCUUUCCAAAAAUUCACCACACUUUUGUACCGACCUACUGACGGUGCUAAUUUGGGGGUCGUCAGAGCUCUCUUUGGGUUGUGCAUGGUGUUAGACGUGGUAGAAGAAAGAGGACUGUCAGACGUGGACAUAAAAUGGGGAGAUCCAAUGGAGUGUCACUUCCCAUUGAUUCACGGAAUGAAAGCCCCGUCACUGCCAUGGAUGAUACUGAUUUUCACUGUAAUGUGGAUGGGUGCCUUCGGUAUCAUGCUGGGCUUUCGCUUCAAGGUCGCCUGCGCCUGUUUCGUCAUUCCUUAUUGGUACAUCUUCCUGCUGGAUAAAAGCUACUGGAACAACCACACGUAUCUCUAUGGAAUCGUCGCGACUCUCCUCUGGGGUACGGAGGCUAAUAAGUACUUUGCACUGGACGCGUUGAAAACGAGAGAAGCUACUGUGCCCUUAUGGAAUUACUUCAUCUUGAGAUUUCAAUUCUUCGCGCUGUACUUUCUGGCGGGAUUAAAGAAAUCGAACGCGGAAUGGCUGUCAGGGUACGCCAUGACGAAUUUGUCCACGCACUGGGUCUUCAGCCCGUUCAAAUUAUUUUUGACCACUGAACAAACAGAUUUUUUCAUAGUCCACUGGUUCGGAUUUAUCUUUGACCUCACCGUUGGAUUUUGGAUGUUGUUUGAUAAAACACGUGUCCCUGCAAUGAUCUUCUGCACCGCCUUUCAUCUGAUGAACUCUAGGCUGUUCAGUAUCGGAAUGUUUCCAUACGUGUGUCUCGCAACAAUGCCACUGUUCUGCAGCACCGAUUGGCCCCGAAGACUCGUAUCUUUCUUCAAGCACAAUAUUUCUUUCCUUGCACAAAAUCUCCGAAUUAAACGAAAUUCUGUAAAACGAUUAAGUGCCGGUACGUCAGAGACAUUAAACCAAAAAAAUUGCGAGAUGUCUAGUGGCAAGUUACGAGACGAAACAAACGGUAAUUCGAUGAACGAUAAACAUAGAAAAAAUACGACAGAUUCGAGGAAUCGUGAGAUGAUUCGUAAAAAUUUUAAAGACUGUGUCAAACCAACGAAGGUGACAAAGAGACAGAAGUUCGUUGUGUCUCUGUUGUUAUUUCAUGUAUUUUUACAAUUUUUCUUGCCGUACUCCCACUUCAUUACGAAGGGUUACAAUAAUUGGGUGCCGGGUAUGUAUGGAUACUCCUGGGAUAUGAUGGUUCACGUUUGGGAUACUAUAUUGGUUGUUAUUAAAGUUCAUGAUAAUGUGAGCAAUGAAGAUCGUUAUCUUGAUCCUAAGGCAUGGGUGCAAACUGAUAGAUGGAAGACACAUGGUGAUAUGGCUAGACAAUACGCUUUUUGUUUAAAAGAUAAUCUGAUCGAGCAAGAAAGCGAACGCAACGGCAAAACAAAAUGGACGCCACUGUCAACUAAUUUAAGCAUUUAUAUCGACGUGUGGUGUUCACUGAACGGAAGAUUCCAACAAAGAAUGUUUAAUCCGAAUGUCGACUUGUUGACAGUAGAUUGGCACCCGUUUAAGCCCAUCUCGUUUUUAAUGCCCCUAUUGUCGCAAUAUAAUUCGUACAGAUAUAAACUAGAAGAAAUCCAGCAAGACGUUUACGCCUGGUCGAACGAUACAGACGUGCUUUUCGUAGCCGAUUUCCCAGGAAUGCAUUUGGACAAUUACAUCUCCAAAAACUUCACCAACGUCUCAUUAACUGUACUAGAAGGAGAAGUGAAAUACAGCGACGAGAAUAAAGGAAAGGGUGUGAUCGUUUCUAAAGGAUCAUCGAUCCCCAUAAAAACGGGUCAAUUUCACAAAGUAGAAACAAUCAGCACUUAUCCAGCCUGCUACAUGUACACCUAUACUAAUCGAAACAAACAGAAAUCGGAAUCAGACAGGACAAGUGACCUUGAUGAACAAAGAGAACCCCUGUCAAUACGAAAAGAAAUUAAUUACAAAGUCGACGCAUGGUUGAGGUCCUUCAAUCAUAUAGCAAAUGCAUUUUUUUACCUAGUUUAUAACGUUCCUAUGGUGCGGAGGGUGCAGGUUAAUAAAUAAUGUCAAUUGCAUCUGUAUUGUUGAAUUAAUCCUAGAUUUUCUGGAAUACACUUUAAAACGGUACGUGGCAUAGUGAAAGAAUGUAGACUGUCAGUUACACCGUGCUACAAAGUGAACUUUAAUAGAAACCAAGGAAACUAUGUAGCACAAUUGCAUCUGUGAUAAAUUGAUUACAACAUCGGUGAACAUAGACAUAGUGGUUGCAAUCGAUCAAGAUCCAAACGAUCGAAUCGUGGUAAUAUGUUUGCCAAGCGAUUAUAGUGACUGUGAUGUGGUAAUAAAAUUAAAUGAAGUUUCUUUGAGAAAUAUCAUGGAUGUAAUCACGGGAUUUGACGCAUAGAUGCGAAAGAUUGUCACCUGUUUAUGAAGAUAAGAGAUACGUCGAUUGUUUGGACUGCUCAUUUUCAA